UCGUAGGUGAACCUGCGGAGGGAUCAUUA
rnacentral:rRNA from 2 species